UGACUUCAUAAAAACAGAAACGCUGUCUCCAUUCCUUCUCAUUUUCUCACCUUUUCUGCUGUCCAAACCCCUUCCAACCUCUUUUCCAUAAUUCUGCUAUCUCAUUUUGUGCCUGAUUUCGUGCUCAGAUUCUGGAAGGACUAGCUCAACAGGAUUCCCAGCCGCUUCCUCUCUUGGCCCCCAUUCUCCUAGUGGUGGAUUCUCCUAGGUCCAACUGAAACUUCUGCUCUCUCAUAGUUUGCUUGGUUCCACCAAAUUGAAUUCUUGACAAAAAGAUAAAAAUGCAGGCGAAGAUAUACCUUUCCUGGACAGGCGUUGAAUGGGCUUCCAAGGCGUUUUCUGCUGUAGUAGUCAACCGUUUUCCCUAGCGAAUGUUUAGGAUAUUUUAUAACCUUUUAGUGGUGUGGACUGUACAUGUUGAUCAGCGUAUGUAUUUCUUUUUGGAUGACUGUAUUAGAUUAUGCUAG